rnacentral:rRNA from 1 species
UUCUUAAAGGGCCGCGGUACUUUGACCGUGCGAAGGUAGCAUAAUCAUUAGUCUCUUAAUUGGAGGCUGGAAUGAAUGGUUGGACAAAAAAUAAGCUGUCUCAGUUAUAACAAUUGAACUUAACUUUUAAGUGAAAAGGCUUAAAUAAUUUAAGGGGACGAUAAGACCCUAUAAAGCUUUACGGUUUGUUUAUUAAAUCGAAAAUUGUAAGUUUAAAUUCAAUUUAAUAAAUAACCGUUUCGUUGGGGCGACGAGAAUAAAAUUAGUAACUGUUCUUUUUCAAUAUCACAAAUAUAAUUGCAAAAAAAUUGAUCCCUUAUUAAGGAUUAAAAAUUUAAGUUACUUUAGGGAUAACAGCGUAAUC